UUAAAAUAUAAAAAGCUGUUUCCCCCAAAAGUUGUAUGUGUCCUCCUAGAAACAAAUUAAUAGGAGCAAAUAGUAGUGUUCUUGGAAAUCCCUUGGAUAAAUAAUUUGGCACACACUGUUCCCUUUAGCCCCACCUCACCUGGGGCUACACCUUUGUUCCUCUCUUGAAUCAGCUCUGCUGAAGUCCUAUCUUAUUCUCUGCUCGCUGGUUGCUUUUCUGUCCCUCUACUCCACCUCCCAUAUCCUCAGCUCCUGUGGAUCUUUCUUUCCACAUAAUUCCUUGGCCACUCCUAUCCAUACCCCUUAGAAAGCGAACCCCACAGGGCUGGGAACUGAUUUUUCUUCACUGUCAUUGUGUCCUCAGCAUGCUGCCUGGGUCAUAGUAGUUGCACAAUAAAUAUUUGUUGGAUGAAUGACUGCAUGGGUCACCAGCUACUAAACACACCCUGGCUGGCAUUGUUCAUCUGAGGAAGCUGAGGAACAAAGAGCCACAUCGGCAGGUCUCUCUGAAGCCUUAUGGGUGCGCGUGGGGACAUCUAGGCUGCCCCGGGGAUGCAGGAAAGGCACAAGACCGUGUGAAGGUAAGGCAGGCUGUCAGUCAAGAGCCUGCCCUCCCUCUCCUAUAUCCAGAGCUGUUAUUCUGUUAAAUGUUUUACAUACUGAGUUUCUGCAAAAUAUUUUUUUGUCUCGCUAGAAGAAAAGGCAAGCAAACAAGCAAAAAGGUAUUUUAGUUUUACAGCUAGGAAGACUAAGACUUCAGGGACGUUAAAUCCGUUGGCAAUUGUCAUCGGUGGCUAAGCCAGUUCUGAAAACCUCAGCCCCAAAGAGCCAGGAAUCUAUUUCCUGUGUCAUGUUUCUCGGGUGCCCAGGUGUCUCCAUAGUGGCACUUGAGUUUGGUAUAUUCACUGACCAUGACUUUUUGUCCAGAACUUUCGUUUUCAGAUGUACGUCCUGAGCAAUACUGAGUAAAAUAAGGUCAGUUACAAGGUAAAUUUAGAAAUAUUUGUCUCAGGGAGUUGUUAGAGGAAAACAGGAAGGACACAGCAAAGCUGGACAAGGCAGGAAGUGGAAAGAGUGCUCAGGGCAUUUGGAAAAGACCAGGGCGUGUGUGUGGAGGUGUGCGUGGGUGAGUGAGAGCAGGUUUCUGACCCUGGAAUAAGAAGUAACAACAUGCCAUAACAGUAACAUUUUUUUUUUUUUGAAUGCCUAACAUGUGACGUGUUCACAAAGCAAAAUGCUUCACGUGCAUCACUUGUAGCAGUGAGGUCAGUCAGUCAGUCAUUCAGCUCUCCUCGUCUCCUUGAAGAGGAAGGGAAGCUUAUAGAGCUGGUCAGCGCAGAGAGGAACUCAACCAAGGACUGUCUGGCGUCAGAGUGCAUGCUCUGAACCCCUCAGCUACACUGUCAACGUGUCCAGAGUCAGAGGACUCAGGCGUUUUUGUACCCAGGGGCAUCUCUUAGGACUGGGUCUGGCGCAGAGUUAGGGCCCCUGACCCCGAUUCAGGGACACGAUGAAAAGCUUGAAUUCGAUCUACCUUUAGGGCAAGCUGGGCCAGUUUAGGAAGAUUCAUCCGCCUGGUACUCGGAUGCCUGAGAUUCUGUGACUUGGUACUUGGUUUCCUGGGGAUUCUGUGACCAAGCCUUCCAUUCCCCAGUUACAGAUAAAAUACAGAGAUUCUUGGUGGCUGCGUUUUAGUAAGCCAGCAGGUUGGAAACUAUGGCCAAAAGCAACCCUUGCAUUUGUUAUAUAGCCUUUUAAGAUUUUCAAAGUAUUUCCCCUCUGUGUUUUUUCAAGAUCAUUAGAACAGAUGGUACAACCCCCAUUUGACAGAAUAGAUCAGAACAUAGGAAACAUAUACUGAGAGUGACA
ensembl:lncRNA